rnacentral:misc_RNA from 1 species
AGCAGCCGCGGUAAUUCCAGCUCCAAUAGCGUAUAUUAAAGUUGUUGCAGUUAAAAGCUCGUAGUUGAAUUUCGGGAUCAGUACGCCGGUCGUGCCUUCGGUAUGCACUGGUGUCACUGGUUUCUCCCUUCUGAAGAACCAUCAUGCCAUUAAGUUGGUGUGGCGGGGAAUCAGGACUGUUACUUUGAAAAAUUAGAGUGUUUAAAGCAGGCUCGCGCUUGAAUACAUUAGCAUGGAAUAAUGAAAUAGGACGUUUGACCCUAUUUUGUUGGUUUCUAGGAUCGACGUAAUGAUUAAUAGGGAUAGUUGGGGGCAUUAGUACUCAAUUGUCAGAGGUGAAAUUCUUGGAUUUAUUGAAGACUAACUACUGCGAAAGCAUUUGCCAAGGAUGUUUUCAUUAAUCAAGAACGAAAGUUAGGGAUCGAAGACGAUCAGAUACCGUCGUAGUCUUAACCAUAAACUAUGCCGACUAGGGAUCGGAUGAUGUUAAUUUUUUAAUGACUCAUUCGGCGUCCG